UUGAGGACCCCUACACCGCGUACAUAGAGCUGUUUCAAGACUACGAGACUAUGCCUGGCAUUGACAUUGUUCUAGCAAAUGGCAUCUGGGCCAAGCCAACGUUCCCUAUUAAAGACGAAUACAAGGGGCACGUUGGGCAUAUCUUUCAGGUUGAGCC
rnacentral:sRNA from 1 species